rnacentral:rRNA from 1 species
UGAGCUCGAUGAGUAGGGCGGGACACGUGGUAUCCUGUCUGAAUAUGGGGGGACCAUCCUCCAAGGCUAAAUACUCCUGACUGACCGAUAGUGAACCAGUACCGUGAGGGAAAGGCGAAAAGAACCCCGGCGAGGGGAGUGAAAAAGAACCUGAAACCGUGUACGUACAAGCAGUGGGAGCACAGGUUUACCUGUGUGACUGCGUACCUUUUGUAUAAUGGGUCAGCGACUUAUAUUCUGUAGCAAGGUUAACCGUAUAGGGGAGCCGGAGGGAAACCGAGUCUUAAUUGGGCGUUAAGUUGCAGGGUAUAGACCCGAAACCCGGUGAUCUAGCCAUGGGCAGGUUGAAGGUUGGGUAACACUAACUGGAGGACCGAACCGACUAAUGUUGAAAAAUUAGCGGAUGACCUGUGGCUGGGGGUGAAAGGCCAAUCAAACCGGGAGAUAGCUGGUUCUCCCCGAAAGCUAUUUAGGUAGCGCCUCGUGAAUUCAUCUCCGGGGGUAGAGCACUGUUUCGGCUAGGGGGCCAUCCCGGCUUACCAACCCGAUGCAAACUGCGAAUACCGGAGAAUGUUAUCACGGGAGACACACGGCGGGUGCUAACGUCCGUCGUGAAGAGGGAAACAACCCAGACCGCCAGCUAAGGUCCCAAAGUCAUGGUUAAGUGGGAAACGAUGUGGGAAGGCCCAGACAGCCAGGAUGUUGGCUUAGAAGCAGCCAUCAUUUAAAGAAAGCGUAAUAGCUCACUGGUCGAGUCGGCCUGCGCGGAAGAUGUAACGGGGCUAAACCAU